CUCCUUUGACGUUAGCGGCGGACGGGUGAGUAACACGUGGGUAACCUACCUAUAAGACUGGGAUAACUUCGGGAAACCGGGAGCUAAUACCGGAUAAUAUUUCGAACCGCAUGGUUCGAUAGUGAAAGGUGGUUUUGCUAUCACUUAUAGAUGGACCCGCGCCGUAUUAGCUAGUUGGUAAGGUAACGGCUUACCAAGGCGACGAUACGUAGCCGACCUGAGAGGGUGAUCGGCCACACUGGAACUGAGACACGGUCCAGACUCCUACGGGAGGCAGCAGGG
rnacentral:rRNA from 1 species